rfam:Triticum aestivum genome assembly, contig: Triticum_aestivum_CS42_TGACv1_scaffold_576774_7BL
AAACUACUCCCUCCGUCCGAAAAUACUCGUCUAAGAAAUGGAUGUAUCUAGAUGUACUAUAGUUGUAGAUACAUCCAUUUUUAUCCAUUUCCGUGACAAGUAAUUCCGGACGGAGGGAGUAUAUU